CGUAGAGUUUGAUCCUGGCUCAGUACGUCCUAACAUGGAAUCCUGGCGAACGAGUUGAGUAACACGUGGGCAAUCUGCCCUGCACUCUGGGACAAGCCCUGGAAACGGGGUCUAAUACCGGAUACGAGCCUCCCGGGCAUCUGGGAGGUUGGAAAGCUCCGGCGGUGCAGGAUGAGCCCGCGGCCUAUCAGCUUGUUGGUGAGGUAACGGCUCACCAAGGCGACGACGGGUAGCCGGCCUGAGAGGGCGACCGGCCACACUGGGACUGAGACACGGCCCAGACUCCUACGGGAGGCAGCAGUGGGGAAUAUUGCACAAUGGGCGCAAGCCUGAUGCAGCGACGCCGCGUGAGGGAUGACGGCCUUCGGGUUGUAAACCUCUUUCAGCAGGGAAGAAGCGAGAGUGACGGUACCUGCAGAAGAAGCGCCGGCUAACUACGUGCCAGCAGCCGCGGUAAUACGUAGGGCGCAAGCGUUGUCCGGAAUUAUUGGGCGUAAAGAGCUCGUAGGCGGCUUGUCGCGUCGAUUGUGAAAGCCCGGGGCUUAACUCCGGGUCUGCAGUCGAUACGGGCAGGCUAGAGUGUGGUAGGGGAGAUCGGAAUUCCUGGUGUAGCGGGUGAAAUGCGCAGAUAUCAGGAGGAACACCGGUGGCGAAGGCGGAUCUCUGGGCCAUUACUGACUCUGAGGAGCGAAAGCGUGGGGAGCGAACAGGGAUUAGAUACCCUGGUGGUCCACACCGUAAACGGUGGGGCACUAGGUGUAGGCGACUU
rnacentral:rRNA from 1 species